rnacentral:lncRNA from 1 species
CUUUUUCAUCUUGCCGAUUUUAUUUAUUUAUUUAUUUUUUAUACAAUGGAUUGUUUUACAGUCGGAUUCUUUCCCCAUUUUUACACGCAAUCACCCUCCCCCCCUUCCAUUCCGUCUGGCUCCAUUUUCCACUACUGCACCACCAUACCCAGAAUCCGCCACUCGUUACCAUAAUCAUCGUUUUGUAGGGCAAAGCUCUAACUUUAAAUUUAAAAAAAUGUUAUCUUUCUUGCAUCUUCUUGACCUGAGUUUAAGCUCGCAGAAGAGGGCAAAACCUUACCUUCUUCUCACUUGAUUUAUUGUGGAGCUAGAUAGUUUGCUCUGGUAUCAUGGCUUUCUUAGUUGAGAUCUCGGAAGAAAAGCACCAAUUUUCGCCAAAGGUGUUCUCCGGUCGACGACUUUCAGCCAAAUGUGGCUGUCCUAUUCCUCGAAAACUACACUCUCCCUUCAAAAUCAGGUGCUUCUUUGGAAUUCCGUUAAUUCGAUGAUUUUCUUAAACAAUUUGAAGAUAAUUUUGCAGUAACCGAUUUUGUUUCGAUUACAAAUUUGAUGUGUGUUUGUGGUGGGUUCAACGAUAGAGGAUGUUUUCAAAUCUGUUGAAAGUUUUACUCAAUUUAAGGAGUUCAGGAGUGUGGCUUGUGGCGUUCUUGCUGUUUGGGUUUUGACUGCUGCCUCGCCUAUAAAUGCAGCUGAUCAAAUCAAAAUUUAACAGCCUUUUCUUAGUUAAGUUUUGCAAUUAAGUUUUGCAUUUUUAUUGUGAUUUACCAUUGAUAGAAAAAUGCUUGGGAAUAAAAUUAAUACUUGAGGUAAUUUCUUGUCAUUACUGACCAUUAAUAUUGAAAUUCUUGUUUCACAAAUGAUCUAGCUACAACAACAAACAUUUAAAUGUGUAUUAGGAUUUAUUUUUGUUUGAGAGUUAAUCUAUUGCGACUCUCUUCCUGUAUCCUUAACGUUGUUCUGGGACGAUUUAUGUAAAAUAUGGGCUGAGUUUCUGAAAUGAUAUGCCAUUUGAGAUAAGAAGUGGUGGAAUUAAUUGAAAUGUGUAGGAGUUUGAUUUGCAGAGGCUACCGCCUGUCAAGAGAUAUGAUGGAAGCAGAGUAAUGUUGAGAAGCACCUCCUUCGGAAAAGUUUCACAGAUUAGUAGAUGCCUGGCAUUCCCUAGAAUUACAAUGGUAGUUGCAAUUAUUAAUAAGGACUUCUUGUUUCCACCUGCUUCCGUAUCCUUUUACUCUUUAUGAAAAAUGUAAAAAUUGGCACUUUGAUUCAUCUCAUUUAUAGAUUCAUAUGCUUUAGGUAGAGGGCAUUUUUCUGGUGUUCUUCCAAUCACAACUGCCAAGGUGCCUAUUCUGAAAGUCGAUGAUUGCGGAACUGGUGUUGAAUAUGAUAUAUUAGUUGAAAAUGGGGAUCGAAUCUUGAAAUCCUAGAUGAUUAUUUUGAGAGGUUUAAAAAGCUAAGCUUCUUAGUAUCUUAUGCAUCUAUAUAUUUUGUCAUUCAACUUUUCAGCUUCAUUUGUCCAGGUUCUAUUUCAUCCUCCUUAUGCAUCUAUAUAUUUUGUCAUUCAACUUUUCAGCUUCAUUUGUCCAGGUUCUAUUUCAUCCUCUUAGUCCAACAUAGAAUUGUUUGAUGGUGCUUUUAUCUUUUGAUUAAUUUGAAGCAUUUGAUCAUUCUGUUUACAAUAAGUUUAAUAAUUCUAUUUCGAAUAUAAUGUUCCGAUUGAAAUGUUUGCAGUGCACUUAUUAUUUAAUAUCUUUUGCAUUUGGUUAUAAACAUUUAGAUUCUGUGUUAUAAGUCAUCACCUUAUGAUUCUUGCUUAAUCUACAAGACUGACCUAUUGUUGUGGCAAAUCCAACCAAAGGUAAUGGGCAUGCCCUUGUACAAUGCUCAAGUUUCUCAGCUGGUACAUUCAAAAGUGAGCUGCCAUUCUUGGGAGCAUAGGUUACACAAUAAUUUGGAAAAUGGAGAGAGCCAAUUUCGUCCAUGGGAUAUUGCAGUAUUCAUUAGUUGGCUUUGAGAAAGCCUCAAUUACUUAUAAAUGUUCGUUGGAAUUUAGAUGAAGAGAAAAAUUGGAACACAAUGAUCCAAGACUAUCUUUGGGAAAAAGUAUCAAGUUUGCAUGAUAUGCUAUCCACUCCAGUGUGGUUUCUAAUUGUAGAG